AGUGGCGGACGGGUGAGUAAUGUCUGGGAAACUGCCCGAUGGAGGGGGGAUAACUACUGGAAACGGUAGCUAAUACCGCAUAACGUCGCAAGACCAAAGAGGGGGACCUUCGGGCCUCUUGCCAUCGGAUGUGCCCAGAUGGGAUUAGCUAGUAGGUGGGGUAAAGGCUCACCUAGGCGACGAUCCCUAGCUGGUCUGAGAGGAUGACCAGCCACACUGGAACUGAGACACGGUCCAGACUCCUACGGGAGGCAGCAUG
rnacentral:rRNA from 1 species